CUGAAGGGUGUCAAGGCUCAACGUUGAGGCAGCCUCAGCAUGGCUCCCUUUAGUUCCUACAAGCUUUACACAUAAGUGAACUGCUCCAAGAGGAAAAAGGCCACUUCAGUGACCUCUCCACUGCCUUUCCCCAGCUCUUGGCAUCCUGUCUUAAGGCUACCCUUGGAUCCAGCUCUGCUGACCCACACUUCCCACACCACUGCCGGUGCCAUCUGCCCAGCCUUCGCUCAGGUUGUUCUUCUCAAAGUUCUUCGGUUUGAUCAAGUCCUGCCAAACAUCACUUGGUAAAAAUAAGAGACCUAAAAAGGGUCUGAAGAUGUCCUGCUUGUCCUGAACAGUUAUGCCAAUAACCACUGACACCAUGAGCAACUGCAAGCUGGGUUUUUACUCAUCUUGUCUUCCAAGAACAGGAGAGGUUAAUUCCCCCAGCUGCCAUAUACCAACACAGAAGUUGUGGUGAAUUAGAAUGAAAGAAGCACAGACUCAAUCUUCUAGGUGAAAAAGACUUG
rnacentral:lncRNA from 1 species